rnacentral:rRNA from 1 species
UACGUAGGGACCGAGCGUUGUCCGGAAUUAUUGGGCGUAAAGCGCGUGUAGGCGGCUAUUUAAGUCCUGCGUGAAAUCCUGCGGCUCAACCGCAGACGGUCGUGGGAAACUGGAUGGCUAGAGUGCGGGAGAGGAGAGUGGAAUUCCCGGUGUAGCGGUGAAAUGCGCAGAUAUCGGGAAGAACACCAGAGGCGAAGGCGGCGCUCUGGAUCGCAACUGACGCUGAGACGCGAAAGCGUGGGGAGCAAACAGG